GCCUUAACAAGGCUCGCUUCUGAAAUAGAGUUGGCGGUGAACCCACUGGAGGCAAAACCUCAAGUGGCCUCAAAACCUUAGCCCUGCUUAAAAACAGAGCAUUCACAGUAGAACCAUCAAAACCCUCAAGUCCUACAUUACUAAACCCAGCACCUCCGAUUGCGGCAGCAUUAUCGGACACCGGAAGCAACUGGGAAGCUUGGAACUCGGGCCCACUAAAACCCAUCAAAUUUGAAGCCUG
rnacentral:misc_RNA from 1 species